GACGAACGCUGGCGGCGUGCCUAAUACAUGCAAGUCGAACGCAGUGGGGACGGGUGAGUAACACGUGGGUAACCUCCCAUCAGAGGGGAUAACACUUGGAAACAGGUGCUAAACCGAUACUGAUGGAUGGACCCGCGGUGCAUUAGCUAGUUGGUGAGGUAACGGCUCACCAAGGCCACGAUGCAUAGCCGACCUGAGAGGGUGAUCGGCCAAACUGGGACUUAGAAACGGCCCAGACUCCUACGGGAGGCAGGAGUAGGGAAUCUUCGGCCAUUGGCGAAAGUCUGACCCGGCCAAGCCGCGUGAGGGAAGAAGGUUUUCGGGUCGUAAAACUCUUUUGGUAGAGAAGCGGGAUCUAACCAGAAAGCCACGGCUAACUACGUGCCAGCAGCCGCGGUAAUAC
rnacentral:rRNA from 1 species